CACAAAAGCAGGACAGUCAGACUUUUGUGGCCAAGAUCUCCUCACCUCCUUGGUUCCCAAACCCCCUGGGUGUCAGUCCACCCACCCCAUGAGUGCUCCUGGGGGUGGAAAACUCCAGGGCCCUGGGAGAAUUUCAGGAGAAAGAAGGCGUUUAGGGCAGAGUGAAUUACACUUUUAAGAACAAGAGGGCACCGUGCCCUCAGAUGAAAAUUGUUUCAUAGAUUGCAAACAAUUCCUGUAAUGCCUGGGUUUGACCUCCUGUAACUUUGUCUCCCAACUAUAUGGAAACCAUAUGCAGCCGUUAGUCUUUCUAAAGAUUAACUUCUUGAAGUGACCAGGCCAUGACUCAUGACCCAACCCCACCCCUCAGUCUGCUGUGACUCAUCGAAGAAGCCAGAUAAACUGAACGCUGAACGACAGCAAUGGGAGAGGCUAGCCUGCUGGAGGAUGACAGUCAUAUACAGCAGAGCCAAGCCAUCCAGGCUGAGGCCAUCCGAGACCAUCCAGACCCCAGCCCACCUGCAAGUUGACUACAGACAAUGAGUGAGCCCAGCUGAAAUUGGCCAACUGUGGUCCAAGUUAUUAGAACUCCUCAACUGAUCUGCAGCCUCAUGAGAAAAACAAAUAACAAAAUUGCUGUAUUAAGCUGCUAAAAUUUGUGAUACUUUGUUAGUUUGGCAGUAGAUGACUGACAUACUACCCUUAUGCAUUUUAACUCAACUAUCUGGGCUGACGUUUUUUGAUUAAGAGAACUCAUGCCAUAUGUUUCAGGAGACCAUAUUUCUAAACGUUGAGUCCUCUCAGUUCUCAAUAUGUUAUUGCUUAAAGGCCCUUCAAAGUUGGAGAAAGUUAAGCUCUUAAAGUAUGUCACUUGAAUUUGUUAAGAGGAAAUUUUACCCCUAUCUUGCUGUAAUAGGUUAUCAGACCUAGAUGAGAUCAGGGCCAGAACCAUUGUAUUAGUUUGCCAGAGCUGCAAAGUAUGAAAUGUCACAGACUGGGUGGCUGAAACAGCAGAAACUCAUUUUCUCACGAUUCUGGAACUAGAAGUCCAAGGGCAAGGUGGCAGCGGGGUUGCUUUCUUCUGAGGCCUCUCUCCUUGGCUUGCAGGUGACUGUCUUCUCCCUGUGUCUUCACGUGAUUUUUCUUCUGUGCAUGUCUGUGUCCUAAUUUCUUCUUUUUAUAAAGACACCAGUCAUAUUGGAUCAGGGCCCGUCCUAAUGACCUUGUUUUAACUUAAUUACCUCAUUAAAGACCAUGUCUCCAAAUACAGUCGCAUUCUGAGAUACCAGGGGUUAGGACUUCAACACAUAAAUCUGGAGGGACGCAAUUCAGUCCAUGAGACCCAUUUAUGUGCUGUCUGUUGUUAUGUUCCUAAAACACAGCUCUGAUUAUAUUACUACCUUGUU
rnacentral:lncRNA from 1 species